GCGGGUGUAGCUCAAUUGGUAGAGCGUCAGCCUUCCAAGCUGAAUGUUGCCGGUUCGACCCCGGUCACCCGCU
rnacentral:tRNA from 2 species